CACUAGUGUUCAUGGCAAUCAUGUCAGCAGUAAACUGGCAUGAGAAAUGGUACUUGUGGUCCAAUUCUCUCCACUUGAUGUCUGAAUCCUCGUACUUCGUCUUCUCUAGAGCAUGCGCUAUUGUUCCCUGUUGAUUGGUGAUGGAGGGAUGCUACUAGAUUACCGUCGGUGUAAUUGCCAAUGACCAAGUCUGGUUUCCCCUCCAAUAUUUCGAGAAUCUUGACUGAAGAAUCCUGAUAUCGACAUGUACAAUAAUUCAAGGAAGUUUAUUGUCAAUGAAUGCUGCAGGUAAGGAUAGAUGUCAAACCGGGAGACCCACUGUGGAAGAACUUUGCCAUCCUCAGUCUUGAAUGGCACACGGAGGAUGUUGGAGUGCUUUGUGUUUUCAAUCGGUUCCAACUCUACAUUGCAUUUGGUGCCCUUUGCUUCUGCCUCCACAGCGAACGUGGUGCCUCCUUUUCGAGCUGUCUUAAUAAUAUAAUAGAUAUGGAUGGCCCAGCAGUUCGUCUUCCAGAGCUCUAACUUGGUCCAGGAUGUAGACAACCUGACCACCGGUGUCUGGCAUACCGAGGACCUUCUCCUGGCCAAAGUAACCAUGGAUGGAGAAGAUGACAACGGUGAACACGCAGGGCACCGUACU